GCCAGUGUGGAGCAGUGGUUUGAGUGUUGAUCUAUGACUCUGGAGACCAGGGUUCGAAUCCCUGCUUGGCCA